AGCGAACGCUGGCGGCAGGCUUAACACAUGCAAGUCGAGCGGACCUUUCGGGGUCAGCGGCGGACGGGUGAGUAACGCGUGGGAACGUGCCUUCCGGUUCGGAAUAACCCUGGGAAACUAGGGCUAAUACCGGAUACGCCCUUAUGGGGAAAGGUUUACUGCCGGAAGAUCGGCCCGCGUCUGAUUAGCUAGUUGGUGGGGUAACGGCCUACCAAGGCGACGAUCAGUAGCUGGUCUGAGAGGAUGAUCAGCCACACUGGGACUGAGACACGGCCCAGACUCCUACGGGAGGCAGCAGUGGGGAAUAUUGGACAAUGGGCGCAAGCCUGAUCCAGCCAUGCCGCGUGAGUGAUGAAGGCCUUAGGGUUGUAAAGCUCUUUUAUCCGGGACGAUAAUGACGGUACCGGAGGAAUAAGCCCCGGCUAACUUCGCG
rnacentral:rRNA from 1 species